AGUGAACGCUGGCGGUGGGCCUAACACAUGCAAGUCGAACGGCAGCACAGUAAGAGCUUGCUCUUACGGGUGGCGAGUGGCGGACGGGUGAGGAAUACAUCGGAAUCUACUUUUUCGUGGGGGAUAACGCAGGGAAACUUACGCUAAUACCGCAUACGACCUACGGGUGAAAGCAGGGGAUCUUCGGACCUUGCGCGAUUGAAUGAGCCGAUGUCGGAUUAGCUAGUUGGCGGGGUAAAGGCCCACCAAGGCGACGAUCCGUAGCUGGUCUGAGAGGAUGAUCAGCCACACUGGAACUGAGACACGGUCCAGACUCCUACGGGAGGCAGCAGUGGGGAAUAUUGGACAAUGGGCGCAAGCCUGAUCCAGCCAUACCGCGUGGGUGAAGAAGGCCUUCGGGUUGCAAAGCCCUUUUGUUGGGAAAGAAAAGCAGCAGGUUAAUACCCCGCUGUUCUGACGGUACCCAAAGAAUAAGCACCGGCUAACUUCGUG
rnacentral:rRNA from 1 species